GGGUUGUGAGGUUAAGCGACUAAGCGUACACGGUGGAUGCCCUGGCAGUCAGAGGCGAUGAAGGACGUGCUAAUCUGCGAUAAGCGUCGGUAAGGUGAUAUGAACCGUUAUAACCGGCGAUUUCCGAAUGGGGAAACCCAGUGUGUUUCGACACACUAUCAUUAACUGAAUCCAUAGGUUAAUGAGGCGAACCGGGGGAACUGAAACAUCUAAGUACCCCGAGGAAAAGAAAUCAACCGAGAUUCCCCCAGUAGCGGCGAGCGAACGGGGAGCAGCCCAGAGCCUGAAUCAGUGUGUGUGUUAGUGGAAGCGUCUGGAAAGGCGCGCGAUACAGGGUGACAGCCCCGUACACAAAAAUGCACAUAUUGUGAGCUCGAUGAGUAGGGCGGGACACGUGGUAUCCUGUCUGAAUAUGGGGGGACCAUCCUCCAAGGCUAAAUACUCCUGACUGACCGAUAGUGAACCAGUACCGUGAGGGAAAGGCGAAAAGAACCCCGGCGAGGGGAGUGAAAAAGAACCUGAAACCGUGUACGUACAAGCAGUGGGAGCCUCUUUUAUGGGGUGACUGCGUACCUUUUGUAUAAUGGGUCAGCGACUUAUAUUCUGUAGCAAGGUUAACCGAAUAGGGGAGCCGAAGGGAAACCGAGUCUUAACUGGGCGUUAAGUUGCAGGGUAUAGACCCGAAACCCGGUGAUCUAGCCAUGGGCAGGUUGAAGGUUGGGUAACACUAACUGGAGGACCGAACCGACUAAUGUUGAAAAAUUAGCGGAUGACUUGUGGCUGGGGGUGAAAGGCCAAUCAAACCGGGAGAUAGCUGGUUCUCCCCGAAAGCUAUUUAGGUAGCGCCUCGUGAAUUCAUCUCCGGGGGUAGAGCACUGUUUCGGCAAGGGGGUCAUCCCGACUUACCAACCCGAUGCAAACUGCGAAUACCGGAGAAUGUUAUCACGGGAGACACACGGCGGGUGCUAACGUCCGUCGUGAAGAGGGAAACAACCCAGACCGCCAGCUAAGGUCCCAAAGUCAUGGUUAAGUGGGAAACGAUGUGGGAAGGCCCAGACAGCCAGGAUGUUGGCUUAGAAGCAGCCAUCAUUUAAAGAAAGCGUAAUAGCUCACUGGUCGAGUCGGCCUGCGCGGAAGAUGUAACGGGGCUAAACCAUGCACCGAAGCUGCGGCAGCGACGCUGAUGCGUUGUUGGGUAGGGGAGCGUUCUGUAAGCCUGUGAAGGUGUACUGUGAGGUAUGCUGGAGGUAUCAGAAGUGCGAAUGCUGACAUAAGUAACGAUAAAGCGGGUGAAAAGCCCGCUCGCCGGAAGACCAAGGGUUCCUGUCCAACGUUAAUCGGGGCAGGGUGAGUCGACCCCUAAGGCGAGGCCGAAAGGCGUAGUCGAUGGGAAACAGGUUAAUAUUCCUGUACUUGGUGUUACUGCGAAGGGGGGACGGAGAAGGCUAUGUUGGCCGGGCGACGGUUGUCCCGGUUUAAGCGUGUAGGCUGGUUUUCCAGGCAAAUCCGGAAAAUCAAGGCUGAGGCGUGAUGACGAGGCACUACGGUGCUGAAGCAACAAAUGCCCUGCUUCCAGGAAAAGCCUCUAAGCAUCAGGUAACAUUGAAUCGUACCCCAAACCGACACAGGUGGUCAGGUAGAGAAUACCAAGGCGCUUGAGAGAACUCGGGUGAAGGAACUAGGCAAAAUGGUGCCGUAACUUCGGGAGAAGGCACGCUGAUAUGUAGGUGAAGUCCCUCGCGGAUGGAGCUGAAAUCAGUCGAAGAUACCAGCUGGCUGCAACUGUUUAUUAAAAACACAGCACUGUGCAAACACGAAAGUGGACGUAUACGGUGUGACGCCUGCCCGGUGCCGGAAGGUUAAUUGAUGGGGUCAGCGCAAGCGAAGCUCUUGAUCGAAGCCCCGGUAAACGGCGGCCGUAACUAUAACGGUCCUAAGGUAGCGAAAUUCCUUGUCGGGUAAGUUCCGACCUGCACGAAUGGCGUAAUGAUGGCCAGGCUGUCUCCACCCGAGACUCAGUGAAAUUGAACUCGCUGUGAAGAUGCAGUGUACCCGCGGCAAGACGGAAAGACCCCGUGAACCUUUACUAUAGCUUGACACUGAACAUUGAGCCUUGAUGUGUAGGAUAGGUGGGAGGCUUAGAAGUGUGGACGCCAGUCUACAUGGAGCCGACCUUGAAAUACCACCCUUUAAUGUUUGAUGUUCUAACGUUGACCCGUAAUCCGGGUUGCGGACAGUGUCUGGUGGGUAGUUUGACUGGGGCGGUCUCCUCCUAAAGAGUAACGGAGGAGCACGAAGGUUGGCUAAUCCUGGUCGGACAUCAGGAGGUUAGUGCAAUGGCAUAAGCCAGCUUGACUGCGAGCGUGACGGCGCGAGCAGGUGCGAAAGCAGGUCAUAGUGAUCCGGUGGUUCUGAAUGGAAGGGCCAUCGCUCAACGGAUAAAAGGUACUCCGGGGAUAACAGGCUGAUACCGCCCAAGAGUUCAUAUCGACGGCGGUGUUUGGCACCUCGAUGUCGGCUCAUCACAUCCUGGGGCUGAAGUAGGUCCCAAGGGUAUGGCUGUUCGCCAUUUAAAGUGGUACGCGAGCUGGGUUUAGAACGUCGUGAGACAGUUCGGUCCCUAUCUGCCGUGGGCGCUGGAGAACUGAGGGGGGCUGCUCCUAGUACGAGAGGACCGGAGUGGACGCAUCACUGGUGUUCGGGUUGUCAUGCCAAUGGCACUGCCCGGUAGCUAAAUGCGGAAGAGAUAAGUGCUGAAAGCAUCUAAGCACGAAACUUGCCCCGAGAUGAGUUCUCCCUGACCCUUUAAGGGUCCUGAAGGAACGUUGAAGACGACGACGUUGAUAGGCCGGGUGUGUAAGCGCAGCGAUGCGUUGAGCUAACCGGUACUAAUGAACCGUGAGGCUUAACCUUACAACGCCGAAGGUGUUU
rnacentral:rRNA from 1 species